CCCUUAGAUGUUCUGGGCCGCACGCGCGCUACACUGAUGCAUUCAACAAGCCUAGCCUUGACCGAGAGGUCCGGGUAAUCUUUGAAACUGCAUCGUGAUGGGGCUAGAUUAUUGCAAUUAUUAAUCUUCAACGAGGAAUGCCUAGUAAGCGUGAUUCAUCAAAUCACGAUGAAUACGUCCCUGCCCUUUGUACACACCGCCCGUCGCUCCUACCGAUCGAAGAGUUAGGUGAAUUGUUUUGAUCGAUAAGAUUUGACUAUGGUCAACUCUCGUUGUGAAAUUCUGUGAAUCUGACUGUUUAGAGGAAGGAAAAGUCGUAACA
rnacentral:rRNA from 1 species